ensembl:snoRNA SNORA21 small nucleolar RNA, H/ACA box 21
CCCCUUCCAAAAGCACUUGCUUUGUCUGCUCAGUGGCUCGGUGAGUUGUCGUAGAAGGGAAUAUUGAUUUCAUCACUGUGGGUGAGACGGCAGCGACCCCACUGUGGCUGACUGAUCUCAAUCAGGGAUGAGACAAGC